UCCCAUUGAUUUCAAGGUCUAAAAGUUGAAUUUUCGCGGGUUACAGUUUUCCUCCGUCGAACAUUUCCGUUCCCUCAUUCAACUGAGGAUUAAUUGUUCCUCGUUUGCUACACUAGAGAGCAUCACUUUCCGGUGGCCGAGCAGACUUGACUCACACCAACACGAAUUUGUUUGUGUAUGUGUUCACCUUUAUGCUAAAUUAUUUAUAUGUAUUAUUUUCCGUUCACAUUUUCAAAAACUGAAGUCCUAUUUUUUUGCUGUUCCGUUGCGAUAAAAUUAUCAGCUGACUGCUAUCUCUAUGCUAUCUUAUUAGAGAAUCUUCCAGUUUCCUCGGUUAUUACAGAGUGUAAUGGAAAAUCCUUCUUUUCCGAUGAGACAGUGACAUCCUGAAUUUUUCUAUUUCCGAUAAAAUGAAGAGACGCUCUACAAACCAGGUGGACGUGCAUUAUAAUUUGAUAAAUUUGUGGAAACAACAUCUAGCUGAAUAAGGCAUCAAAACUGUCAGGAACUGUGUCAGAUAGUAAUCAGAAACACCAUGCCCCAUGUACAUCCACUAAUAAAAUUUAUUGCCAAUAAUUGUCCUAGUUCAUCUUUCCCUGUCAACUUUACAAUAAAUUUCGUUGUACCAUUUUUCUAUUGUA